rnacentral:rRNA from 1 species
AUGAACGCUGGCGGCGUGCCUAAUACAUGCAAGUCGAGCGAACAGACGAGGAGCUUGCUCCUCUGACGUUAGCGGCGGACGGGUGAGUAACACGUGGAUAACCUACCUAUAAGACUGGGAUAACUUCGGGAAACCGGAGCUAAUACCGGAUAAUAUAUUGAACCGCAUGGUUCAAUAGUGAAAGACGGUUUUGCUGUCACUUAUAGAUGGAUCCGCGCCGCAUUAGCUAGUUGGUAAGGUAACGGCUUACCAAGGCAACGAUGCGUAGCCGACCUGAGAGGGUGAUCGGCCACACUGGAACUGGGACACGGUCCAGACUCCUACGGGAGGCAGCAGUAGGGAAUCUUCCGCAAUGGGCGAAAGCUUGACGGAGCAACGCCGCGUGAGUGAUGAAGGUCUUCGGAUCGUAAAACUCUGUUAUUAGGGAAGAACAAAUGUGUAAGUAACUAUGCACGUCUUGACGGUACCUAAUCAGAAAGCCACGGCUAACUACGUG